AAAUCAGCUCUUUUAAGAGCUAUUUCCUAUUUACUUUAAACCUAUU
rfam:Harpegnathos saltator strain R22 G/1 HarSal_1.0_3.contig3006, whole genome shotgun sequence.